GACGAACGCUGGCGGCGUGCUUAACACAUGCAAGUCGAACGGAAAGGCCCUGCUUUUGUGGGGUGCUCGAGUGGCGAACGGGUGAGUAACACGUGAGUAACCUGCCCUUGACUUUGGGAUAACUUCAGGAAACUGGGGCUAAUACCGGAUAGGAGCUCCUGCUGCAUGGUGGGGGUUGGAAAGUUUCGGCGGUUGGGGAUGGACUCGCGGCUUAUCAGCUUGUUGGUGGGGUAGUGGCUUACCAAGGCUUUGACGGGUAGCCGGCCUGAGAGGGUGACCGGCCACAUUGGGACUGAGAUACGGCCCAGACUCCUCCGGGAGGCAGCAGUGGGGAAUAUUGCACAAUGGGCGGAAGCCUGAUGCAGCAACGCCGCGUGCGGGAUGACGGCCUUCGGGUUGUAAGCCGCUUUCGCCUGUGACGAAGCGUGAGUGACGGUAAUGGGUAAAGAAGCACCGGCUAACUACGUG
rnacentral:rRNA from 1 species